GAGUGGCGAACGGGUGAGUAACACGUGGGUAACCUGCCCAUCAGAAGGGGAUAACACUUGGAAACAGGUGCUAAUACCGUAUAACACUAUUUUCCGCAUGGAAGAAAGUUGAAAGGCGCUUUUGCGUCACUGAUGGAUGGACCCGCGGUGCAUUAGCUAGUUGGUGAGGUAACGGCUCACCAAGGCAACGAUGCAUAGCCGACCUGAGAGGGUGAUCGGCCACACUGGGACUGAGACACGGCCCAGACUCCUACGGGAGGCAGCAGUAGGGAAUCUUCGGCAAUGGACGAAAGUCUGACCGAGCAACGCCGCGUGAGUGAAGAAGGUUUUCGGAUCGUAAAACUCUGUUGUUAGAGAAGAACAAGGAUGAGAGUAAAACGUUCAUCCCUUGACGGUAUCUAACCAGAAAGCCACGGCUAACUACGUGCCAGCAGCCGCGGUAAUACGUAGGUGGCAAGCGUUGUCCGGAUUUAUUGGGCGUAAAGCGAGCGCAGGCGGUUUCUUAAGUCUGAUGUGAAAGCCCCCGGCUCAACCGGGGAGGGUCAUUGGAAACUGGGAGAC
rnacentral:rRNA from 1 species